rnacentral:rRNA from 1 species
GCCUGCCCAGUGACUAACAUUUCAACGGCCGCGGUAUCCUAACCGUGCAAAGGUAGCGCAAUCACUUGUUCUUUAAAUAAGGACUGGUAUGAACGGCAUCAUGAGGGCCAACUUGUCUCUUAUGAUAGGUCUAUGAAACUGAUUUUCCAGUACAAAAGCUGGUAUAAAACCACAAGACGAGAAGACCCUGUGGAGCUUUAAACUACAGAUCACCUAUAUGAUCCUAUGUUUUUAGUUGGGGCGACUUUGGAGCAAAACAAAACCUCCAAACCCUUCAGCUUCGGCCAACACGCCUACGCAACUAAUUUGACCCAAUAAACUUGAGCAAUGAACCAAGUUACCCCAGGGAUAACAGCGCAAUCUUCUUCUAGAGUCCUUAUCGACAAGAAGGUUUACGACCUCGAUGUUGGAUCAGGAUACCCCAUUAGUGCAGCCGCUAUUAAAGGUUCGUUUGUUCAACGAUUAAUAAUCCUACGUGAUCUGAGUUCAGACCGG